AUUGAACGCUGGCGGCAUGCCUUACACAUGCAAGUCGAACGGCAGCGGGCCCUUCGGGGUGCCGGCGAGUGGCGAACGGGUGUGUAAUGCAUCGGAACGUACCCGGGCGCGGGGGAUAACCGGCCGAAAGGCUGGCUAAUACCGCAUGAACUCGGAAGAGCAAAGCGGGGGACCUUCGGGCCUCGCGCUCUCGGAGCGGCCGCUGUCCGAUUAGGCUAGUUGGUGGGGUAAAGGCCCACCAAGGCGACGACCGGUAGCGGGUCUGAGAGGACGAUCCGCCACACGGGGAGGGAGACAGGGCCCAGAGGCCUACGGGAGGGAGCAGUGGGGAAUCGUGGACAAUGGGGGGAAGCAUGGUCCAACGGGGCCGCGUGGGUGAAGAAGGCGUUGGGGUUGGAAUGACGGCUCGGCGGGGGAGAAAUCGGUCAGGCGAAUAGUCAGGCAAGAUGACGGUACCCGCAGAAGAAGCACCGGCUAACUACGUG
rnacentral:rRNA from 1 species